AGUGUGUUAAAGCUAUUCUGAUAUUGACUGUAGUUCUGAGCUUUGUCUCUAUCCCACCAAACCACUAACUUCUUGAAAUUACUUGUAGACCAAGAUGAGAGGACUCCGUGUGUGGCUCCCUCUCUUCAUGUGACAAAGAAACUUCCUAAAAUACUAAAAGCUAAAGGAGAUUGUUAUCUAAGCUUGAGAUGGAAGGUUGCCAGCAGAAACUUGGAGGAUCACAGCCAGUCGCCUGGGAUUGACCACAGGCAGUGGCAGAGGCAGAAGGCAAAAGACCAGUUGCAAUUUUCCAGGUAAAAGAUGGAGGCUGUUGCAAUAAUCCAGAAUCCUGAAUUGAGCCUGUGUUCCCAGUUCCUAGAAACCCUCAAGGUUAUUGGUUUCCUCCUCGCUUAACAGACCAGUGGAAGAAAUCUACCUCCAGUUCUAUCUUCACAUGAGCAACUGUUUACAGUUUACAAUAUUACUCUGAAAAUCAGUUCUUUUCAAGUUUUAUCUAACACCCACCAGAAGAAACAGAAGAUUAUGAAAAUGGAAUUUGUCAAAGUUCCUCUCCCAACAAUAUGAUAUUUAAUUUUGCUAACAUUUUUUUUGAACACUUACUAUAUUGCAGACAAUGGUCUAAGUAAAGCACUUUAUGUGCAUCCUAUCAUGUCAUCAUCACACAGCCCUGUGAGGUAGAUACUAUUAUUAUUAACUACAUUUCACAUUAAAAAAAACUGAGGCUUAGAGAGACUAAGUAAAUUUUCCAAGGUCACACAGCCAUGAAGUGGCAGAGCUGUGGUUAAAACCUAUGUCUGUCUGAAGUUUAAGAUUUUGCUGUUAGCAUUACUUUGAAAUGACAAUAUGAGGGCAUUUUAUGUAUUUUUUUGCCCCAAUAUGAUCUGCAGAAACUAUGUAUUUUAAGUACUACAUUUCUUUUAUUUACCAAAUUAUUGUCAGAUAAGAAACCGAAAUAAAAGUUUACAGGGUCUAGGAUUCCUCCAUAAUGAAUGAACUUUGGGGUAUUUCAGUGACAAAUCGGCUUUAACACGAUCAAAUUCCAUCCUACAAUGAAAGUGUGUUAGUUUGUGGUUUCAAGUUUAAAAACAGCACUGUAUUGUCUUCCAGAAAUAUAUAAAUAGAAAUUCAAUAAGUAUUUCAAUGAAUACAGAUAAAAUUAGUUUUGUUAGAACAUCAAAUAUGUGGGUUUCAUUUCUUAGCUCAGCUUAGAAACUGUAAUUUCAAUUUUUUUUAGCAGCUGUGGUAAAUUUUGAGAUUUGAAAUUUCAUAUAAUAUAAAUCCUCAUUUAUUGAGCAUUUAAAUUAUAUGCCCAACAAUUUACUGUGUACAUUACUUCACUUGUUCUUAACUAUAACUCUAUAAAAUAUUAUUGUCCUUGAUUUAUAGAUGAAGAUAUUGAGACUCAGUUAAGUAACUUGCUUGAAAUUCAAAAACGUUAACUGUGGAAGGCAGUAUUUGAACCCAGUGUUCAAAACCCCAUGCUCUUUUUAUUAUAUGACCUUAUUUCCUAUUCAGUCUUCAGAAGAUAUAUUGUCUUAUUAGAUUAUUCUCGUUCUCUAAAUAAGUGACCUUGGGCAACUAUCUUUUUCCCUGGUAUUUUCCCCUGCCUUUAAAACAAUGUGAUCAAACUGGAAGUUUUUCAUGAUCUCUCUUAGCCCUAAAGCUCCUUGGUUCUGUAAUUCCACAAAUAGCCCAUUUCAAAAAUAAUUCUACAGUAAUCAGUGGGACUCCUGUUUUUCUCAUCUUUUUUUUUUUGAAACAGAAAAUUGAAACUUUUAAAUUAGUUUAGUAAAUACAUCUACUAGUUUUUUUCUUUUAUAGUCAUGGUUAUAUUAUUUGGUCCUUCUUAGUUGCAACAUGUUUCCUUGCUGUCAAUUAUAAUACCUCUCAUCAACAAUAGCCUGAAGAAAUAGAUUUGAAUUGCUUUCCCUAAUUUAUAGCUGGAAAACUAGGCUAUGCUGGUAUCUUAAAUUGACUUUCCUGAGGUCACGGGCACUCAGUGCCAAGAAGAGUUGGUACCUAUGCAUUUGAAAUUUCUGGAUUUCUGGUCUUACUCUGUACUUAGUCACUCUUUUCUUUCAUUUGGCCCUAUGGUGGGCAAACUACAGCCUACAGGCCAAUUCCAGCCUACCAUCUGUUUUUGUAUGGUCCAUGAACUAAGAAUGGUUAUCACAUUUUAAAAUGGUGGGAAAAAAAGACUAUUUUGUGACAUAAAAAUUAUAUGAAAUCCAAA
rnacentral:lncRNA from 1 species